rnacentral:rRNA from 1 species
AUUGAACGCUGGCGGCAUGCUUUACACAUGCAAGUCGAACGGUAACGCGGGGGUAACUCUGGCGACGAGUGGCGAACGGGUGAGUAAUACAUCGGAACGUACCCAGUUGUGGGGGAUAGCUCGGCGAAAGCCGGAUUAAUACCGCAUACGACCUACGGGUGAAAGCGGGGGAUCGCAAGACCUCGCGCUAUUGGAGCGGCCGAUGGCAGAUUAGCUUGUUGGUGAGGUAAGAGCUACCAAGGCGACGAUCUGUAGCUGGUCUGAGAGGACGACCAGCCACACUGGGACUGAGACACGGCCCAGACUCCUACGGGAGGCAGCAGUGGGGAAUUUUGGACAAUGGGCGCAAGCCUGAUCCAGCAAUGCCGCGUGUGUGAUGAAGGCCU